rnacentral:lncRNA from 1 species
UGUUCUUCAUGAAAGUCCUUUAAUUUUCAGGCUUUUGAAACCUUGGUUUCCCACAGCAAGAAGUCUCAGAGGCCUUUUCUGGUGCAUUUCCAAAGCAGAUGCUUGGUGAACAAGAAAUUGCAGCGGGGGAUGUCUCUUUGCUUCUCUCAGCUACUGAAGAAGAAAGAGCUGCAACAGAAGAGAUGUCCUGAAAUAUGAUAGAAGAUAGCGGAGAGAGGUUGAAGGGUGAAUGAAAGCUUUUGUUUCAAAAGGACAGGUACAUCCUGGCACACUUCCUGCUGUUGGAUGGAGAGGAUGACUUCAGGAACUGUGGACACAAGCAGUAUGAUAAAGGUCCUUAGACUCGUUC